GACACCCUAGCGUGGGGACUCUGAGGAUGGCCCAGGGGCUCCCCGCUGCCCCCAGACCUUCAGGUCCUCUUGGGGCUUCUGGCCGGCUGCUUAGACGUUCUUGCAGAGAGAUGAGGUCGGAGCUGUGCCUGAUCCCGCCGGGCCCCUCCGGGUCACAGAUGCGUGGCGCUCGUUCUGGGCACCGGGUCCCCCGCGAGAAUGCGUGCCCAGGGUGCACCUGCAGUGGGCGGGCUCAGCUGUGGAGCCAGCUGUGCUCAGCGCAGGGGAGGAAACGGGAUGGGACCCCAGCCGUGGAGGGAGACCGUCUGCCAGGGCUCAGUCCCGUGACCAGAGGUUGACAUCUGGCCAGGACGAGGCUCAGGUGGGGGCUGGGGUCAAGUGGAGGCUGAGCCGCACGGUUUCUGCUUUGCUCCGGAGCACGUAUCACUCAAGCGAAUUCCUUCGAGUGUCCGAUUCCUGGGAGGGGGGACAGCUGGGCUGGCCCAGCUUGGGGCACCCUGAGGGAGGUGGCCCCCCUCCACGAGUCGAUCGUCGGUGGCCAACGGGAGAGUGGGGGUCCCUCCAGGCCGAGGGGACCUGCACCGUGUGGGGGGCAAUUCAGAGAGGAGGCACCAGCGGCAGCCAGGCCGCCCUUUCAGUCGUGUGCAUUUUCAGAAGCAUCAGGAUGUCCUCCCUGGGCGGGGCUGCCCCUGGCGUUUCUGACCCCAAACCUGCCUUGUGUCAUCGUCAUCGGACGGAGUCCUCGCCCCGGAGUUACCAGUCCGGCCUGGAGUCUCCAGAUGUGACCGAAAAGGCAUCACAGUUCACGACAGCCGUGGGAAACACCAAGCAGGCUCUCGGACCAGAUACUAUGGUAAGAAGUCUUCAGAAGACAGAAAGCAAGGGGAGCGGAACCAAAGGAAGCACCAAGUGUGGAUGCCACGUCUAGGGUGCCUCCGCCACAACAGGCUGGCGGGGCGGCCGGCACGGCGACCGUCGGGCGUGUGGAGGCCGCUGCCCCAUCCCGGUCUCCAGCUGGGAGCGACGGCGUGGCCGUGUGAACUUGAGCAGCAGGGCCUCUGCAGUAAUUGUUUAAGAAGAACUGAGUGUAGUCGACACAAACGUUCCAGGAAUGUCAGGUGCCCAGCACGGUGGUGGGACGCGGCCCCACGGCUCCACACGGCCACCUGCCACCACAUGACGGGAUGACAAUACCAGGG